rnacentral:rRNA from 1 species
UACGAGUGCCUCAAGCGUUAUCCGGAAUCAUUGGGCGUAAAGGUUGUGUAGGUGGUUUUAUUAGUCUUUUGUUAAAUUCUUCGGCUUAACCGGGGGCAUGCAAAGGAAACGGUAAAACUUGAGGAUGCGAGGGGUCUGUGGAACUCAUAGUGUAGCGGUAAAAUGCGUUGAUAUUAUGGGGAACACCAAAAGCGAAGGCAGCAGACUGGAGCACUCCUGACACUGAAACAAGAAAGCGUGGGUCGCGAAUGGG